UACGUAGGGUGCAAGCGUUGUCCGGAAUUAUUGGGCGUAAAGAGCGUGUAGGCGGUUCGGUAAGUCGGUUGUGAAAGUCGGGGGCUCAACCCUCGGAUGCCGAUCGAUACUGCCGGGCUAGAGUCCGGAAGAGGCGAGUGGAAUUCCUGGUGUAGCGGUGAAAUGCGCAGAUAUCAGGAGGAACACCAAUGGCGAAGGCAGCUCGCUGGGACGUUACUGACGCUGAGACGCGAAAGCGUGGGGAGCAAACAGG
rnacentral:rRNA from 1 species